UACAGAGGCCCCGAGCGUUAAUCGGAAUUACUGGGCUUAAAGGGUGCGUAGGCUGAUCUGAAAGUGCUUUGUGAAAUCCCCCGGCUCAACCGGGGAACAGCGGGGCAUACUACAGAUCUUGAGGCAGGUAGGCGCCGAGGGAACAGUAGGUGGAGCGGUGAAAUGCGUAGAUAUCUACUGGAACGCCGAUGGUGAAGACGCUCGGCUGGGCCUGUCCUGACGCUGAGGCACGAAAGCGUGGGGAGCAAACAGG
rnacentral:rRNA from 1 species